GCGAAACUGCGAAUGGCUCAUUAAAUCAGUUAUCGUCUAUUUGAUAGUACCUUACUACUCGGAUAACCGUGGUAAUUCUAGAGCUAAUACGUGCUGAAAACCCCGACUUCGGAAGGGGUGUAUUUAUUAGAUUAAAAGCCAAUGCCCCCCGGGGCCCCUUGGUGAUUCAUGAUAACUCCUCGAAUCGCACGGCCUUGCGCCGGCGAUGGUUCAUUCAAAUUUCUGCCCUAUCAACUUUCGACGGCUGGGUCUUGGCCAGCCGUGGUGACAACGGGUAACGGAGGGUUAGGGCUCGACCCCGGAGAAGGAGCCUGAGAAACGGCUACUACAUCCAAGGAAGGCAGCAGGCGCGCAAAUUACCCAAUCCCGACGCGGGGAGGUAGUGACAAUAAAUACUGAUACAGGGCUCUUUCGGGUCUUGUAAUUGGAAUGAGUACAAUUUAAUUCCCUUAACGAGGAACAAUUGGAGGGCAAGUCUGGUGCCAGCAGCCGCGGUAAUUCCAGCUCCAAUAGCGUAUAUUAAAGUUGUUGCAGUUAAAAAGCUCGUAGUUGAACCUUGGGCCUGGCUGGCCGGUCCGCCUCACCGCGUGCACUGGUCCGGCCGGGCCUUUCCCUCUGGGGAACCGCAUGCCCUUCGCUGGGCGUGCCGGGGAACCAGGACGUUUACUUUGAAAAAAUUAGAGUGUUCAAAGCAGGCUUAUGCUCGGAUACAUUAGCAUGGAAUAAUGGAAUAGGACGUGCGGUUCUAUUUUGUUGGUUUCUAGGACCGCCGUAAUGAUUAAUAGGGACAGUCGGGGGCAUCCGUAUUCAGUUGUCAGAGGUGAAAUUCUUGGAUCUACUGAAGACGAACUACUGCGAAAGCAUUUGCCAAGGAUGUUUUCAUUAAUCAGGAACGAAAGUUAGGGGAUCGAAGACGAUCAGAUACCGUCGUAGUCUUAACCAUAAACUAUGCCGACUAGGGAUCGGACGGUGUUGCUUUUUGACCCGUUCGGCACCUUGCACGAAAGUACAAG
rnacentral:rRNA from 1 species